ACAUUUAUACUGCAUUAUGUGUAUAAUGAAUUAAUAGUGCAUCAACAUAAACAAUAUCAAAAGAAGAACGCGUACGUCAUACACGAUGCUCACUCGAAGGAAAAUCCAUUGUCGGCCCGGAUAUCAUAAAGAAAAUCCGUCGAACUUGAACGUUUUUGAAGUACUUAUCAGCUUCGUAAAUCAUUUCUCAUCGGUGGUAUAAACCUGUAUAAAGGACGAGCUCGUAGGCGGUUUACAAUCCUCCGGCUGGAUCGCGUAUAGGAUGCACUUUACGAGCCAAAGAAAGGUUGAUGGAAAUGAACGAAUUCGACUAUUGAUUUUGUGCAAGCAAAACCGUUAACCUCAACGGCGAUGUACCUUCCGGAAGUGAGGCAUUCCUCCGAUAGAAUUUGCGCAGUGAUGGACGUUUUUUGGCAUGCUAUGACUAACAGAAAGUGCGGUGCUGGCUUUGCUAAUUCUAAUAUUCAUCGACGUUGCAUGUUCAAGGACGAAUCAACAGCAAGAAACCUGCUCACAGGAAAUAUGAUAACAUCAGAUCAACUAGAGGGCUCCUCCGAACGUGGAUUGUUGAUCCCAACUAGCCGUGCUCGGCCAAACUUAUGGGAGAAAAAACGGGAAUCAGUAAAAUGAUAGACGCAAUAAAUCAAUCAUCAUGAGCUUUAUAUCUAUAA